UUAAUGCUCCAUGUGAGCGAGGGGAGGCAUCUCCUUUGUUUGAAACGUAAGGAUUUAUGGGUGAGCACGCUUUCUGAUUAGGUAGUUGGUGAGGUAACGGCUCACCAAGCCGACGAUCAGUAGGGUUCUGAGAGGAAGGUCCCCCACAUUGGAACUGAGACACGGACCAGACUCCUACGGGAGGCAGCAGUGAGGAAUAUUGGUCAAUGGGCGGAAGCCUGAACCAGCCAAGUAGCGUGAAGGAUUACAGCCCUACGGGUUUUAAACUUCUUUUAUAUAAGAGUAAUGUGCGCUACGUGUAGCGUAUUGCAAGUAUUAUAUGAAUAAGCAUCGGCUAACUCCGUG
rnacentral:rRNA from 1 species